AGUCGAGCGACAGAUGAGAAGCUUGCUUCUCUGAUGUUAGCGGCGGACGGGUGAGUAACACGUGGGUAACCUACCUAUAAGACUGGGAUAACUCCGGGAAACCGGGGCUAAUACCGGAUAAUAUUUUGAACCGCAUGGUUCAAUAGUGAAAGACGGUUUCGGCUGUCACUUAUAGAUGGACCCGCGCCGUAUUAGCUAGUUGGUAAGGUAACGGCUUACCAAGGCGACGAUACGUAGCCGACCUGAGAGGGUGAUCGGCCACACUGGAACUGAGACACGGUCCAGACUCCUACGGGAGGCAGCAGUAGGGAAUCUUCCGCAAUGGGCGAAAGCCUGACGGAGCAACGCCGCGUGAGUGAUGAAGGUCUUCGGAUCGUAAAACUCUGUUGUUAGGGAAGAACAAAUUUGUUAAUAACUGAACAAGUCUUGACGGUACCUAACCAGAAAGCCACGGCUAACUACGUGCCAGCAGCCGCGGUAAUACGUAGGUGGCAAGCGUUAUCCGGAAUUAUUGGGCGUAAAGCGCGCGUAGGCGGUUUCUUAAGUCUGAUGUGAAAGCCCACGG
rnacentral:rRNA from 1 species